rnacentral:rRNA from 1 species
AUUGAACGCUGGCGGAAUGCUUUACACAUGCAAGUCGAACGGUAGAGGGGGCAACCCCUCGAGAGUGGCGAACGGGUGAGUAAUAUAUCGGAACGUGCCCAGUCGUGGGGGAUAACGUAGCGAAAGUUACGCUAAUACCGCAUACGGUCUAAGGAUGAAAGCGGGGGAUCGCAAGACCUCGCGCGAUUGGAGCGGCCGAUAUCAGAUUAGGUAGUUGGUGGGGUAAAGGCUCACCAAGCCAACGAUCUGUAGCUGGUCUGAGAGGACGACCAGCCACACUGGAACUGAGACACGGUCCAGACUCCUACGGGAGGCAGCAGUGGGGAAUUUUGGACAAUGGACGCAAGUCUGAUCCAGCCAUUCCGCGUGCAGGAUGAAGGCCCUCGGGUUGUAAACUGCUUUUGUAUGGAACGAAAAGGUCUCUCUUAAUACGGGGGACUCAUGACGGUACCGUAAGAAUAAGCACCGGCUAACUACGUGCCAGCCGCCGCAGUAA